AAAACAUAAUAAUUUAUAAGUCAUCCCCAAUUAUUUUACCCAAAAACAGAAACCAUAAUGUCAAACCCUAAAUCACAAUCCAUAAGAAAGAGUCUCGUUAAUACAAAUUUCGAUCAAGGCCGCAACUGGAUAUUCAUAUUCUCGCCGAUGUUGGUUAGACACUGGUCAAAUUUCUUGAUUCUCUUCCUAGUACGUUCUUUCGCCGUCGCUAAAAUUUAUCUCUAUUGAUAUUUGAUUUUGGUUAACAAAUCUUUGAGUUUUUGUUUUGCAUUAGGAUUGGAGAAGUGUGGAGAAGAAAAAAUUUAAUUAAAAUGAAGCAAAGUGGAAAUAUGGAGACAAAGGAGCAGAGAUGGACUUAGGAAAAUUAUGGAAGAGAUAGAGUUUUUUUGGGUUAUUUUUUUCUUUUAUUUCAACUUAAGUUCUUCUCUUUCUCUGUUUUAUUUCCCUAAUUUUUCUAUGAUAGUUAAAAGCAAUUACGUAAUUCAAAGAUUUAAUUUUUAAGUUCCUUCAUGCUUUGAGAGCUUCACGGACAAAAAGGAGAGAAAGAUACAAUUUUGAAAUUGAAUUUAAAUAGUGGGCUGAUAUAUGUGAAUUCUUCUUGGAAUUCCUUCGUGUUUUAUUGAAGGAUUUUUUUUUUUUAUGGGGAAACACUUCAUAUGAGUAUCAUUAUUGGUCCCUUGGUUUGUUUGAAGGUUAUUAUUUUGUUUUUGAAGCAUGAUCAGAUUAGUUUUUGCAUGAGAAAAAUUGGUUGAUCUAAUAUCACUACUUCACAAUCUGUCUGAUUGAUGGGUGGAAAUGUUUUAGCAGAAAGAAUUUGAUGAGAGUGAAGAAUGAAAUUUAUCGAAGAACUAUGUUGCUAUAGAAUGAAAAAUUGUUUCUCUGACGUAGCAGUACUUGAAGCACAUCUGUUUGGUCCACUCUUCUCAGCUUGAAUCUCCUAUGCCAGAUUUUAUCAUUGGUUUUGUUCCUUUUUUUUUUUUUUUUGAAUCCUUACUCUUAUAGAUCUAGUUGUGGGAUAAGUCUUUACAUCUUGCACUUUGAUAGCCAUGAUUUGAUUUUCUGAAUGGGAAGGAAUGAUAUUAGUUUUGACAAAGAGGGAUUGUACUAUGUUGUUUGUAUGUGCUCGUGAACAACUGUAAUCACUUUCAUGCAAUGCUUUGUGCUUGUUCUUAUUUUUGGGUUAUCUCCAGUACAUAGUAAAUGCACUAAUGCAAGUUGGUAGUUUUUUUUUUUUUUUUUACUUUGAUAUCAGCCAUGUUAGGUUCCUCGAACAUGACAUGAAAGAGGUGAAAGAAUUAGGUGGAAAGAUGAUUUCAUCUUUCAAGCAAGCAUCAGUUUUGAAGCAAGAUAAUCAGCUACUCAACCUACUUGAUGAAACUAAUUUGGUAUUUUGGUAUACCUCAAUUUUUGGGACUGGAAGAAUCUUGGCUGGUUAGAAGACAAUAAUCAUCUUUCCAUCAUCAAGGCAACAAAUGGCCAAGUGAUUUGUUUGGACAAGUAUUAUAUUUAUUUAUUUAAUUUUAUUCAAACUAUCGACUAUUCUCUAGGUAGUAUUUUUUCCAUUUACAUAAUUCUUUUGAAGAUUGUUGACAUGUAGUUUUAAUUGGAAAUCAGUUAUACAA